AUAUUGUUGAGUACUUUAUACAACAGCUAUAAGGAAGACCUGAUGUGAACAUUGUUCACAAGUCUGCAAGAAAAAAACUCAACCAACCAGCAUUUCAUUUUAUGACCUGAAAAUUAUCCACUGCUCUAGAGAGUGGAUUAACAGAGCCAACUAAACCCUUCACCCUGACAAAGAACUGGCGGGAGGACUAUAGAAACUCAUCCAAAAUUUUACCAACAUGAAUGCAGAGUAAUAGGUCAGUGAGAAGCAUUUCUGUAUUUUAAUGGCGCUCUUAGAAUUCAAUUCAAUUUAAAAUAAAAGUUGUUUUA
rnacentral:lncRNA from 1 species